CUGAGCUGCUACUGCUGAGGCGGCGGCGGCGGCCGCCAGGACUCCUUUUGUCUGGACAAAGACAUGCUGUUUACAAACCAGCAUGCACACAGGCUCACUGCAUUUGGACCAGAGAAGAGUUUUUCUAGAGCCGCUAGAGCAGCACUGGCCUUUGCUACUUUUUUAUUGGGGCCUGCCCCACGAAACUUCUGUGCAUCAACCUCCACCUGACACGAACACACACAAACACACACAUAAAGAAGUCAUGACUUACUCAGCCAGUGAGUCUGGCUGAACAGGACGGCUUGUUUAGCGAGGCCCUGCUGUCAGGCAGCCUUGCUAAUCAAUCAGCGGAGCGAUGGAGCGGCCAGGCAUGUCGGAAAACAACACACCCCACAGAGAACAGGCCUGCUCCAUGAACCAAGCUGACUGAUUGACACAACCGGAGAUCAGCCUGCUUCUGAGUGUGUGUGUGUGUGCCCGGUUAUGUUUCUCCCCAUGGCUAAAUGGCAUGUGCAUAAAGAAAUAUACUCUCUUACACAUAUACAUGUUUAAUAUCUUUUCAUAGGCACUGUGAAGCUCACCUCCAUAACAAAGCGUUUGUCGUGACUGCCUCCACUUUCAGAGAUGAGUUCGUAUUUGAGGCCUCGUCUCUUUUCGUUUAGCUCCAUGACGGGGUUCUUCCCACUCGCCGUCAGUAUCGGACCCUGAGUUCGCACCUGGGGAGAUAAUUAAAGUCUUAUCAUUUAAAAGUAUAGUGUAUUAGAAAGCAAACAGUGGAGACUGAGCAUGAUCAUGACAACACAAGUGUUUAUUUGUAAUAGUUAGAAAUGAACAUUCCGAGACAUGAAAAAGCAUUUGAGUGUGUGCAAUUUUGUAUCAACCCUUGUUUCUCAAUCCUCACCUCCAGUGCGUUGGAAUUGUCCGAGGUGUGUGUUGGGUUAUUGCUCGUGUGUGAUGACGUCUCGCUCUUCCCCUCCCCGACCGACUUCUCGUCUGAACUCAUGGGGUCCAGGUCUGAGUCGAACCCUGUUGGGUAGCCCAUCGCCUGGAGAACCUAGAGAGGGAGCAGCAUGAUCAAAU